AAGCUCAUGAUAGAAAAAAAACAGAAUCUCAUGGCUGAUUUCACAGAAGAUUUGCAAAGCUU
rnacentral:sRNA from 1 species